rnacentral:lncRNA from 1 species
AAGAUCCAAGAGGAAGAUCGGUAGCAAGAGGAUCAAGACAAAUAGAAUAGGUAGGAUCUUGUACUUUUGUUUCCAGUUUUAUAUUUUGUAAUAAAAGGAGCAACGAACCGGAAACUCGACGGGACCUCAACUCGACUCUCCAAUUCAUCCACUCAUUCCUACACCCAUUGGAACUACACGUGACCUGAUUCUCUUAUAACCCGAGAUAUGUAGGAUGCCCAAAGCCAGGGCUCGGUCACACCUCUUUCCCACUUAUUUACGUAUUAAUAUUGAAUAAAGGGUUGGGCCAAAAAAUUAGUCAUGUUUACUUCUUUGCUUGAAGAUUCUUCAGAUUUUCAAGCAAAGAGGGGCAUUCUGUAAACACCUAAUUUUUUACCAAACCUAAGUGUUUUUGCCAUUUUAGUGUUCAAUUUCGUUUUAGGGUCUAAAUUAGAUAUUUUAAAUUUAUCUUAUUUUUACUAAAUUUAUUUUAAAA